rnacentral:rRNA from 1 species
AACGAACGCUGGCGGCGUGCUUAAUACAUGCAAGUCGAACGAGAAAGCUCUUUCGGGAGUGAGUAGAGUGGCGCACGGGUGAGUAACGCGUAGGUGAUCUACCCUUUGGUGGGGAUAACCCAGAGAAAUUUGGGCUAAUACCGCAUAAGUCUAAUAAACUUGAAAAUAAUUAUAGAAAGAAUGCCUCUACUUGUAAGCAUUCGCCGAAGGAUGAGCUUGCGUAACAUUAGCUUGUUGGUGGGGUAAAGGCCUACCAAGGCGAUGAUGUUUAGCUGGUCUGAGAGGAUGAUCAGCCACACUGGAACUGAGACACGGUCCAG